AGCCUGAGUUAAAUGGCUCGUCCUCUUCUGGCUCUCUCCAUCAGGAUACAGCAGGACAGGCCGAGGUCACAGAUGAGUUUCUCCAUCAGUGUGCUAACAGUAACUCUGAUCUGGCUGAGGUUGUGGAACAGAUUAACCACAGUUUUCCUGCAUGCUCUCCGUCAAGUGUGUCAUCAAGGCCCAAGGUGAUGUGAAGGUUUUCAGCAGAACAUCCCUUUGGAGAGAAGAAAUCUCGCAGACGUGAAGAGCAGUGUCUAACUCGACAUGACAAGAAGAUUCCCAUUCCAGAGAUGCAGAUUCCCGGCUGUUCCCUCGACAGAGGUGUUUGUCCUUGAACCCAAAGACUCUGGAACAGGACCACACAGUUCAUUCAAUGACUAUUACUACUGCGUCUGUCUGUACUAUGCAACUGUACAUUGAUCAACACGUGAGGUGUACUGCCCAUUGUUUUAAUACUCUGAUGAUUAUUUAGGGUUAUGGGGGCCAUUUAUCGUGUAACCUGUAUGCUUUUAUUUCUAUGUUCACCAAGGAACCACACUGCUACCACACGCAGCUCACAUCAGUUGCUGUUCAAAUCGGCACGUUGUCUUUCUACAGACGUGGUUAUUAGUUUAGUCGGAAAACGUCAUAAACAUCAGUGGAUAUGAAGACGAAUCGGUCUUGUAAUGCUAAACUGUUAACGCAUGUUGCCCCCAGCAUUGUUCUGUUCAAGUUUUCGCCUGUUUUGACAGUGUUUGCCGUGAACUCUCCCUUUAAAGCAUUGUUUCGACAGUUUGUGCCACUGGCAGCAGCGCAUCCGAACCCUCACUGCAUUUCUAGAGCGCACGCACAGAUGAUGUACUACACAAUAUUCGAAUGCGUCAAAAACACCCUUUUGUGCCUAUAAAGCAUCCAUUCCAGGAGAGACGAGUGGCUGAGAGAUGCUGUAUUUCUCAAAGUCAUGUAGAGAGAUUAUAUUAUAAAAAGACAAAUGUAGGAAAUGUGGAUUUUUAGGACGUUUGGCCCAAGAUGAUUUAUCUUUGUGUAGUAUAGUUUUCUAAAUAAAUGUUUAAAAAAAAUAAAAUUAGAGAAAGCCAUGAUUGCCUUGCUACCUCAGACAUGAUCAAUCAUUCAUUGGUUUGUGCAUUGGUUUGACUGUCGAUUGAUUUCACGCUCCGUUUCCAAAAACAAAGGAAAUCACCCCAAUGGUCUUUCCAUAAAGUUGCACUUGCUACGCGAGUAACUACAUUGUGCUUUUCCCUUGAUUUCCCAGCAGUCCUUUGAUUUUUCUACAUGGUGUAUUUGUGGUGUGCUACCUUCAGUGAAGUGUUAGAUUUUAACAUUACUGUAACACCUGCGAAACAUUGUUCUGAAGUUGAUUCUAGUGAAGUCACCAUCUCCGACGCUGUGCUGUUCUGACCCGAGAUAGAUCGAUAAGACCCAACACACUACAUGUAAUGAGGUUCCAUAUGUUUUAUUCAAAAUAAAGUUUUUAUAAUGAG